AGCUUUGUGCAGUGGCUGUAUCAUAACCAAUGAGGUUUAUCUGAGGUGCGAUUAUUGAUAUUAAAAAUUAUUAGAGUGGACUCACUGCUGUAACAAUUCCAAACUCUUGCUAACAAAGUUCUUCUAUUGGCCCUGUCA